rnacentral:tRNA from 1 species
GUAUGGCCGAGAGUAGGCGGCGGGCUGUAGACCCGCCCACAGGGNACAAACUCUUACUACCA